rnacentral:lncRNA from 1 species
AUCAAAUGAUACACGGUAUGACCAACUUGGACGUUGGCCCAACCCCGUGAAUGGUAACCACCAUCAAUGUCGCCAUUGUAAAGAUGGAUUUUCCAAAAUAUUUUGCGGCAAAUGUAAGAUUUGUCUCUGCUUAGAGAGGGAGAAAACUGUUUUCUGGACAACCAUAAUAAAUAACUUUCAUUUUGAACUAGAACUUUUCUAUAUCUAAUGUUGCG